rnacentral:lncRNA from 1 species
UAAAGGUUGGGGUUUAGGAUUUAGGGUUUAGGGUUUAAGGUUUAGAGUUUAGGGUUUAGGGUUUAGAUUUUAGGGUUUAGGGUUUAGGGUUUAGGGUUUAUAGUUUAGGGUUUAGGGUUUAUGGUUUAUGGUUUAUGGUUUAGAGUUUAGGGUUUAGGGUUUAGAGUUGAGAAAUGAGGUUUUGGGGAUAUGAUUUCAAAUUUUGAAAAAUA